rnacentral:rRNA from 1 species
CAGCAGCCGCGGGAAUACGUAGGUGGCAAGCGUUGUCCGGAAUUAUUGGGCGUAAAGGGCUCGCAGGCGGUUUCUUAAGUCUGAUGUGAAAGCCCCCGGCUCAACCGGGGAGGGCCAUUGGAAACUGGGAAACUUGAGUGCAGAAGAGGAGAGUGGAAUUCCACGUGUAGCGGUGAAAUGCGUAGAGAUGUGGAGGAACACCAGUGGCGAAGGCGACUCUCUGGUCUGUAACUGACGCUGAGGAGCGAAAGCGUGGGGAGCGAACAGGAUUAGAUACCCGUGUAGUCCCUGUCUCUUAUAA